AUGGUGUCCAAACUGUACAACGAAUGGCGUGUACCGUUGCUACCUAGCCUAGGUAUAUUUGCAUGCAUGUGGGCAGCCCAACAAUACAAAAUUCCGAUGAGCAUAUACAAUUACAGAUAUGCUCCGGCCGGCUCGGUUGCAUUCCAAAAGUUUGCAUCGUCGCAGUCGUUCAUCGGGGUCAACUACGGGACGCUCGCGGACAACCUGUCGCCAGCGGCGUCGACGGCCAGCCUGCUCACGUCGACGUCCAUCGGCAAGCUCCGCCUCUACGAGCCGCAGCAGGACCUCGUCGCGGCGCUCGCGGGCUCCAACAUCUCCAUCCUCCUGGGCGUCCCCAACUCCGACGUCCCGAGCCUCGCCGCCUCACCGGCCGCCGCGGCGUCGUGGGCCGCGGCGAACAUCCCCACCAUGGUGUCCGUCUCCGCCAUCUCCGUCGGCAACGAGCUCCUCAACUCCGGCGACCCCACGCUCGGCCCGCAGCUCCUCCCAGCCAUGCAGAACCUCCUCGCCGCGCUCCCCGCAGGCUCAACCACCAAGAUCUCGACGGUGCAUUCGAUGGCGGUGCUGGCGGCGUCGGACCCGCCGUCCUCCGGCGCGUUCCACAUGGACCUCGCCGGCAGCCUGGACCCGGUGCUGGAUUUCCUGCGGCAGAACGGCUCGCCGUUCAUGAUCAACCCGUACCCGUAUUUCGCGUACGCGUCGGACACGCGGGACGAGACGCUGGCCUUCUGCCUGUUCCAGCCCAACCCGGGCCGCGUGGACGCCGGGUCGGGGCUGAACUACAUGAACAUGUUCGACGCGCAGCUGGAUGCCGUCCGGGCGGCGCUGGACGGCAAGGGGUACGCGGGCGUGGACAUCGUCAUCGCCGAGACCGGGUGGCCGUACAGGGGGGACGCCGACGAGGCCGGCGCCACGCCGGACAACGCCAGGGCGUACAACGGCAACCUCGUGGCGCACCUCAGGUCGCAGGUGGGCACGCCGCGGACGCCCGGCAGGUCGGUGGACACGUACCUCUUCGCGCUCUACGACGAGGACCUCAAGCCCGGGCCCGUGUCGGAGCGGUCGUUCGGGCUGUACCAGGCCGACCUCACGGCCAACUACGACAUCGGUCUCGCCAAAGGCAGCGCCAGCCCCAGCACGUCCGGCCAGAUCGGCGUCACCGCAACUCCGGCGCAGGCUGCGCCGCAGGCCGGGAGGGGGGCGACGCCGGCAGGGUACUGUGUGCCGACGAGCACCGUGCCGGGGAACACGCAGCAGGUGCAGCAGCAGAGCAGCUCGUGCUACGUCCCGGGAACAGCAGCAUCGCCGAAAGGUGACGCCGGCGUGCUGCUGCUUGUCUUGUUUGGUGCUUUGCUGGGCCUGGCAAUGGUGGCCGAAAGUAGAUGA
rnacentral:rRNA from 1 species